rnacentral:lncRNA from 1 species
ACUUUCAUAUACCUUCCACACACACAUACUCAUCUGUCACACUCACACCAUCAACCAUUUCUAAUCAGCAAUUGAGAAACUAAAAGGAACUAAAACUAAAAGGACUAAAAGGAACUAAUUCUAACCCAGCGGCCAUAAGUGAUUCAGUCCAGUUUACCAUACAGUCCUUAGAAUAAAUCUCCAGAACACAUUCGUAACAUGUCUUACAAUGAGAGGUGAACCAGGUAAGCAGUAUCUAUGUGAUCUUUGAACCCAAAUCAUGAUUGUGAACUUUUAACAUUAUAGUUUAACAACAGAUCCACUCAGACACAUGUCACACUGGUGAAAAGCACCCAUAGAACUAAGUUUUGAGAGCUUAAAAAAAUAGUGUUGCGUAAUGUUGUGUCUGGUUUUCACCAUUUUAUAUACCUACACUAAGCUUGUCCUUUUUCAUGUCAGGUGUAUUGUUGAUACAGGGAUAAACCAGGGUUUGACAAGAGUUGCCAGUGUCUGAUUCUACACCCGAACACAGCAGAGUGGGCGGGGCCUGCAGACCGACCCAGUUACACCUGCAGUGAGCAGACAGAGGAAGAGGAGUGUGAGAUCCACGGGGAAAGGAGCAGGAGAAAGAGAACGACAGCUGUCGCCAGCAGACGGGCAUUGACUGUCGGACUAAUUGAAAUCGUAAGAGGCCGGCGCCCAAGGACGGCGUGACAGCCGUGGUGCCAAUGACGAGAGUGAUGUUGGCUCGAGGUGACGGUGAACAGUUGAUACUCUGCCCCAUCAUGUGA